AACGAACGCUGGCGGCAUGCCUAACACAUGCAAGUCGAACGAGACCUUCGGGUCUAGUGGCGCACGGGUGCGUAACGCGUGGGAACCUGCCCUUAGGUUCGGAAUAACUCCCCGAAAGGGGUGCUAAUACCGGAUAAUGUCUUCGGACCAAAGAUUUAUCGCCUUUGGAUGGGCCCGCGUUGGAUUAGCUAGUUGGUAGGGUAAAAGCCUACCAAGGCGACGAUCCAUAGCUGGCCUGAGAGGAUGAUCAGCCACACUGGGACUGAGACACGGCCCAGACCCCUCGGGGGGGCAGAAGGGGGGAAAAUGGGACAGGGGGCGAAAGCCUAAUCCAGCAAGGCCGGGGGGGUGAUGAAGGGCUUAGGGUGGAAAAGCUCUUUUACCCGGGAUGAUAAUGACGGACCCGGGGAAAAAGGCCCCGGCUAACUCCGG
rnacentral:rRNA from 1 species